rnacentral:rRNA from 1 species
CCUACGGGUGGCAGCAGUGAGGAAUAUUGGUCAAUGGCCGGAAGGCUGAACCAGCCAUGCCGCGUGAAGGUCGGUGCCCUAUGGGCGUUAAACCUCUUUUGUGCGGGAGCAAUAAUGGUCACGUGUGGCCAGACGAGAGUACCGUACGAAUAAGCAUCGGCUCACUCCGUGCAAGCAGCCGCGGUAAUACGGGGGGUGCAAGCGGUAUCCGGGUUUAUUGGGUUUAAAGGGUGCGUAGGCGGUGAGGUAAGUCAGCGGUGAAAUGCCCCCGCUCAAAGGGGUGAAGUGCCAUUGAUACUGCCUUGCUGGAAUGCGGAAGCGGUGGGAGGAAUGUGUGGUGUAGCGGUGAAAUGCAUAGAUAUCACACAGAACACCGAUUGCGAAGGCAGCUCACGAAUCCGCGAUUGACGCUGAUGCACGAAAGCGUGGGGAUCAAACAGGAUUAGAUACCCCGGUAGUC